UUGGAGGGCAAGUCUGGUGCCAGCAGCCGCGGUAAUUCCAGCUCCAAUAGCGUAUAUUAAAGUUGUUGCAGUUAAAAAGCUCGUAGUUGAAUUUCGGGAUUAGUACGCUGGUCGUGCCUUCGGUACGUACUGGUGUUACUGAUUUCUACCUUCUGACGAACCAUCAUGUCAUUAGUUUGGUGUGGUGGGGAAUCAGGACUGUUACUUUGAAAAAAUUAGUGUGUUUAAAGCAGGCUCGCGCUUGAAUACAUUAGCAUGGAAUAAUGAAAUAGGACGUUGAUCCUAUUUUGUUGGUUUCUAGGAUUGACGUAAUGAUUAAUAGGGAUAGUUGGGGGCAUUAGUAUUCAAUUGUCAGAGGUGAAAUUCUUGGAUUUAUUGAAGACUAACUACUGCGAAAGCAUUUGCCAAGGAUGUCUUCAUUAAUCAAGAACGAAAGUUAGGGGAUCGAAGACGAUCAGAUACCGUCGUAGUCUUAACCAUAAACUAUGCCGACUAGGGAUCGGAUGAUGUUAUUUUUAAUGACUCAUUCGGCGCCUUACGGGAAAC
rnacentral:rRNA from 1 species